rnacentral:rRNA from 1 species
GCCGCAGGGGCCAGGGUUCCUCGGCAAUGUUCGUCAGCCGAGGGUUAGCCGAUCCUAAGACAACUCUUAAUCGAAGUUGCCGAAAGGGAAACAGGUUAAUAUUCCUGUGCCAUAAUAGUCAUCGCCUAAUAUGAAACAUAUCCGGAUAAGCUGAGCAGGGGUGUCAAUCUGUUCAAGCGUCGAAGCCUUUGGAGUACCGUAAUGGUGAGAAUUAGGUGAAUGCGCGAGUAGGCAAGCGAAGGCUUGCUUCAGCUGAUUCCAGGUAUCAAUGAAAAUUGUAUUAGUUUAGUCUGUUAUGUUCGUACCAAGAACUGACACAGGUGCCCCUAGGUGAGAAGCCUAAGGCGUGUCGGCGUAAUCGUAGCGAGGGAAUUCGGCAAAAUAGCCCCGUACCUUUGGUAGAAGGGGUGCCAGCCAUGAAGAUGGCUGGUCUCAGUAACAAGGGAGCUCCGACUGUUUAACAAAAACAUAGGUCACAGCUAGUUCGAAAGGAUGUGUAUUGUGGCUGAAGCCUGCCCAGUGACGGUAUCUGAAACUCGGGUUCAACUGAGCGAAGGACCGUUAAACGGCGGGGGUAACUAUGACCCUCUUAAGGUAGCGUAAUACCUUGUCGCUUAAUUGGCGACUUGCAUGAAGGCACAACGAGAGCUCUACUGUCCCCGCUUCGAAGCCGGUGAAACUGAUAGUACCGGCGCACAAUCCGGUAUCUUCCACCUGAAAGCGAAGACCCCAUGGAGCUUUACUACAACCUGUUGUUGUGAUACGAGCCCUAAUGUGUAGCGUAGGCAGGAGUCGUUAUCAGGGCUUGCCGCCAGGCAAGUUCCGAGACAUCAAUGAAACACUGCCCUUUAGGACUCGUACCACUUACUCUUUCUGAGAGGACAGCUAUAGGUGGGCAGUUUGGGUGGGGCGCCACGCGCUCAAAAAGAUAACAAGCGCGCCCAAUGGUCAGCUCAGGCAGGUCAGAAAUCUGCCGUUGAAUGCAAAGGUAAAAGCUGGCUUGACGUCGGUUGGGACAAUAACAAUCGGCGAUACGAAAGUAGGGCUUAGCGAACCACUCAGCCUUCUGAAUGGGGGCGAGUGAUAACAGAAAAGUUACCCUGGGGAUAACUGAGUCGUCGCUAGCAAGAGUUCAUAUCGACCUAGCGGUUUGCUACUUCGCUGUCGGCUCUCCCUAUCCUGGUGGUGCAGCAGCUACCAAGGGUGGGGUUGUUCGCCCAUUAAAAGGGAUCGUGAGCUGGGUUCAGACCGUCGUGAGACAGGUUUGUUGCUUUUUGGUGGAAGUGUAUUGAUGCCUGACGGGAAGGAUCCUUUAGUACGAGAGGAACGGGGAUUCGUAGCCUCUAGUUCAUCAGUUGUCUGGCAAGGCACUGCUGAGCAGCCACGCUGUAAGGGAUAAGAGCUGAAAGCAUCUAAGCUCGAAACUCCCCCGGAAAAGAGGCAUCUUAGAACGCUCAUAAAUGAUGAGUUUGAUAGGACUGGGGUGUAAGUAUCAAGGUUUUCCGAGAUAUUCAGCCCGCAGUUACUAACGUUUGCUUCGUCGC